rnacentral:rRNA from 1 species
AGCGAACGCUGGCGGCAGGCCUAACACAUGCAAGUCGAACGGACCCUUCGGGGUUAGUGGCGGACGGGUGAGUAACACGUGGGAACGUGCCUUUAGGUUCGGAAUAGCUCCUGGAAACGGGUGGUAAUGCCGACUGUGCCCUGCGGGGGAAAGAUUUCAUCGCCUUUAUAGCGGCCCGCGUCGGAUUAGCUAGUUGGUGAGGUAAUGGCUCACCAAGGCGACGAUCAGUAGCUGGUCUGAGAGGGUGACCAGCCACAUUGGGACUGAGACACGGCCCAAACUCCGACGGGAGGCAGCAGUGGGGAAUCUUGCGCAAUGGGCGAAAGCCUGACGCAGCCAUGCCGCGUGAAUGAUGAAGGUCUUAGGAUUGUAAAAUUCUUUCACCGGGGACUAUAAUGACGGUACCCGGAGAAGAAGCCCCGGCUAACUUCGUGCCAGCCGCCGCGGUAACAC